AUGGCAGUUUACUAUGUGAAGAGUCACUGCCUAUCUUGCAUGUGAUGUAAUAAUAAUAACACAUUGGAGUGUCUUUUUGUUUAUGAGGAAAAGUUAGGUGUUUUAUUUCCCCCCCAAAACAACACCAAACAAAUGCUAUCUUUUUACAAAAUAAAAAAAAUACUAUUCUGUGUGUGACUUCAUUUUGUAAACAUGUGGUUUAUUAGGUAUACUCUGGUAAACAAUAUUGUCAUGUCAAAUAUAUUACUAGUGAAUAUAACAUACAAUUCUUAAAAUGAAUAAACCAAUAGCCGAAUAAUUGGCUAAUUGUACUGACUAAUUCGUGCAAAGUCAAUCAAAUCAUGUGUCACAACAUUGAUGUAAAAAUUACCUGUUAAAUUCAUGUUAUCUUUCUCUGAUGCGUCAGGAAUUUGGAGAGUUAAGGGUUUAUAACUAGUGCGUGUUUUGGCAACUGGGAAGUUUCCGUCUUGGAAUUCCGAGUUGGAUUUUUCCCAGUCGGAGUUAAUUUUUCCCCGAGUCCCAGUUAAUUUUUCCCCGAGUCCCAGUUGUCUUGAAUACCCUGAAGUUGGACAUUUCCGAGUUCACAGUUGUUUUGAACGAGGCAUAUGGAUUGGGCACACCUUUCUCACCUGGGACACUCGGAUUUCGACGACGGAGUGACGUAGUGCUACGAUAUGACAAAUGGGGAGGAAGCAAAAAAAAAGUCAGUCUUCUUUCACGCUGGCCACGUCCCUGGGUUAUCCACGGGUUUCAGAUUUGUGUUUCCUCUGAGAGAGAACCUUGUUGAAAAGCAGAGCUUACUUUAAGCG
rnacentral:lncRNA from 13 species